rnacentral:lncRNA from 1 species
AGUCCUGCUCUAAAGCAAGCUCGGUCCGGCGAGUCGUGCUCACAUCCACCUGCGCUGCAGUCAGGUAUCGAGACGAUGCGACUGCAGUCUCCCCGCUCGAUGAAUCACACUGGAGUGACCCCGAAUACUGCAAAAGAUACAAGGUAAUCCUCUCGAUCCAUCUACCUUUCAAUUCUUUUUAAUGAGUUCAAAAGACCAUCAGGCUCUAGUCAUUCUUUUUAUUGAUAAAAAUGCUUCAAUUCAAGAACAAUUUUUUGAAGUUGAGGUGAAGACAGAAAAUGGGUAGGUGAAGAUCUUUGUACCUGCCUCUGGUAUUUUGCCUGAUUGGUAGAGUGGGAAUUUCUUUUCUUUUCUUUUCUUUUCUUUUAGACCAUUAGAUGUGUAGCAACUUGGAGAUUGAGCAGCAUGGUAGAUUUGAUUUGGAUUUUGAACUGAAUGAC